rnacentral:tRNA from 1 species
UGCCGGAUCGUCUAAUGGUAGGACAGCGGACUCUGAAUCCGCUAAUCUUGGUUCGAGUCCAAGUCCGGCAG